rnacentral:lncRNA from 10 species
AAAAGAAAAAAGAAAUCACCAAGCCCUCUCUAUACCCAUAAGCACAGCCUUGACCGAAGUCCUGACGGCUGAGCAUGCAGCUCAAAUCCCUGGGGAGAUACCACUGCACAUACACGAGGGCGGUCGUCAUCCAAAAGACAGACCACAGCAAGCGCUGGAGAGGAUGUGGGGCAACUGAAACCCUGGUACGCUACUGGUGACAUGUAAGAGGGCGCAGCUGCUUUGGAAAACAGCUUGGCAGUUCCUCAAAUGGUUAAGUAUGAAAUUAAGCAAAUGGUUAAAUGUAAAUACGACCCAGCAGUUCCACUCCUAAGUAUACAUCCAAGAGGAAUGUUAACAUAUGUCCACGCAAAACCCAUACACAGACAUUCAGAGCAGCAUUACUCAUAGUAGCCAAGAAGUAAAAACAGCUCAAAUAUUUAUCAGCUGAUGAGUGGGUAAACAAAAUGUGGGACAGCCAUACAAAGGGACACUAUAGGGCCAUAUAAAAGGGACCAAGCCCUGAUGCAUGCUGUGAGACAGAUGAACCUUGAAAACGGUAUGCUAAGUGAAAGAAGCCAGAACCAGCAGGCCACAGAAGGUUGUGACUUCAAUAUACCCUCUCAUGAGACCUUUCCUGGCCCCUUAUCUGUGGAGGAGGCACGUGACCCACAUGGUCUGGCCACUGAUGACUGAACAAGCUAUGGACACCGGACCCCGGAGAGACCAUUCACUCACUGGCCACGAACAUGAGUUCAGAUACAUGCCCCAAAAGGAUGAGCCUGGGUACUGGAUUCCCUCCCUCAGAAACGUGAAUCAAGAGACACAGGAUGUUCCUGUUGGUCCAGAUACUUGAGCUAAAAGGUGAUGGAUACCUGGAUGUGGGGUGGUCAUUCUGGGGAGUACGUCCAUAUAGAAAGAGGAGCAGGUGCUGUGGGAUUCUGGAUCCCAGUGAUAGAGCUAAGUGGCUGGAUCAAGCUUCACCUGAAACCCACUCUACUUGUCUUAGUCCAUUUUGUGUUGCUAUAAAAGAAUACCUGCAACUGGGUAAUGUAUAAAGAAAAGAGACUUAUUUCAUUUUAUAGCUCUGCAGUCUGAGACAUUUAAAGGGAUGGCCUUGACUUCUGGCAAGGGCUUGCACGUUGCAUCACCACACGCAGGAAAAGGGAAAACAGAAGGGAGACUGCAAAAAAGGGGAAAACCUGAAGGUCAUCAUAGCUUUAUAAUAACCCACUCUCACAGCAAUGAGUUAGAUGGAGAACCAAUUCAGUCUCACGAGAGUGACAGCAAGAACUCACUCACUGGUGAGAGGGUAGCACUUCCAAGCCAUUCAUGAGGGAUUCACCUCCAUAGCCCAACACCUCCCACUAGGCCCCGCCUCCCAACACUGCCACAGUGGAGAUCAAAUUGCAACAUGAGUUUUGGUGGAGACAAACACCCCCUAUCCAAAUCACAGCACUACCCCCGAACUUUCCAUUACACGAACCAAAGAAUCUUCCUUUAAAUUAGUGUCAUUGGGUUUUCUGGGAUUUACCUUUUUUUUUUUUUUUUUUUUUUUGAGACAGGGUCUUGCUCUGUCACCCAGGCUAGAGUGUAGUGGCACAAACACAGCUCACUGUAGGCUCGACCUCCUGGGCUCAAGGGA